GCCGCAGAUGACAACAAAACAUCACCACUAUAGUGAAGAAAGUGCGGUACAAACGAACGAGAAGGAUACGGGAUGGACACGGCCAGUGUGCGAACGGUUGGUGGAAACAGGUCAUUUAUUUUGUCGCUAUUUUAUCGUACUACUCGACAAAUGUUGAGGCUUAGCUGGCUAUAAGUAUUCUAAACAUCACCACGAAUUGACAAGGAAAAAUGGUAUCCGAUCACAAGACACUGUAGUCUAGUGCUGGAAACAAAACUAGUGUACUGGGUUCGUGAUUGUGCUAGAAACCCGACAGAAAGAAGACGCUAGAUCGAAACGAACGAAACGAGUUUUGCGAGUUUGCGAAACGGCUAACUGUCCUGCGAACUCCACCUGGUCGAAUGGGCACACGCAGACAAAGCAAAGAGCAGCAAAAAAAAUCACAAAUCUCUUCAGCAGUAAUACAUCCAUAGGCUAGCUCAUUUCCAGAAGGAAGAAGGGCACACUGCUUUCCACCACCAAUGGUGAAAAAAGGCACAGUAAACUACUCGCCCAUUCCACGCCUUAGCAGCGCAUCCCGCUUGCAAACGCACACGGAAACCAAAAGUACGAAGCAGCGAUUGUGCAAUAAAACGAAGAUGGUUGGCCAACCAGCUUUUAAGGCAACACGCAACGAAGCAGUUAAAAAGGCAACAACGAAAAUAAAAGUUUCGCAUGCUGUAGUAACGAGCCGCAAGAUCGCAAGAAGUUGGCAGCUCAAGUUCAAAGUCAAACUGUGCGAAACGUGCAAUGUGCAAAAGUGGAGAAAAAAAAGUCGCAAUGAAAUAUAAGCAAAUAGCAAAAAAGAAAAAACAAAACAAAAGAAACGGAAAAAAGUAGAAUAUUUCGCACAUUGCAUGCUACAAGUCGAUCCGAACAAGACAACAAAAGCAAAUGUUGAUUUAAGCGAGAAAAGAUAUCGCAACGGAGCAACGGCAAAGGAGUGUGAAUCAAAAGUGCGAUAAAGUGAAAUCAAAAGAAACCACCAGCAGCAGCGAAAUGGGUACAACAGACUGUAGAAGUAAAAUGGACAUGAAGAUGCGCAGCAGCACACACAUGUGUAGGGAAAAUGGAAAGUAAGAACACAAAAAAACCCGCGAAAGAGCGAAAGCAGAGAAGAAUUAUAAUCAGAAAAUAAACGUAAGUCUUACGUAAUAUCCUCCAGUGAGAAGAGAAUUUGUAGCUUUUGUAGAAUUGGUAGAGAUCGUGCAUUUUUUUUCCAAGAUUAAUGAUAGAUAGCUCAUAUUACACAGCUGCUAUAUUAGCACAAUUUCGCUUACUUUAAAAAGUGCAUCCAUUUUACUUUAAUGUUGUUUAUUGUGAUCCUUUCUAAAUAGAUCGCUAUAUCUUUAUAAUAUUCUCCAACACUUUAUGCAACUUGUAUAGACAAAACCCUAAAACUAAACAUAGUAAAAUUGCUCUAGAACCUUAAAAUAAAACAGUAACACGAUCCACACUAAUGUAUGCCAUAAUCGACGAUCGGUCUGAUGUGCUCAAAAACGUAAAAAGUGUUAUUUUGAUAAACCGGUUUUGUAGGGACGAAAUGCCGGGUUUCUCGCCAGUUUUAAGCGUUUGAUCGUUCAUUGGCGGCACGAUUCGCACACACUAAGGUCGACUCACCAUUCCUACAAUCGGCCUGUUAUGCAACGGCUCUGUAUGAGAAAACCAGUUCCAACCCUCAUUAUCACCGCCCCCCCACCCCAACCAGUAGGGAGUCAAAUUUUAAGAUUCUAAGACCGGAACGGUUCGGGGUGCGACACGCAAAUUGUGCAAAAAGCGAAAAGAAAAGGAAGAAGACGACGACAAAAAAACAACAAAACUCCCCUUCUUCGAUUUCGUGACGCUGGGUUAGAACGAAACUGUUUCGUCAAAAGAAGCUUUGCGUUCUGUCGUGCGUGCAGUUACCGGCUGGAACGGACGUUUAUUGUUUAUUUGCAAAUAAAAAAAAGGUAUGUUCGUUCUGCAGUCAAACCUUUAUUUUGUUUGGAGGGGAAUUUUUUUUACGAAACGGAAUAAUAACAAUACUGAAAAGAGUAACUCAUUUUGGAUAGGGCAAUUAUGGGAUCAAGUUGAAUGUCAUACGAAUGUUUGCUAAUCACGCAAGAUCGUUUUUAAAUGAUCUCUUCUUCUCAUAAUUUGUUCAUUGCGGUUGGUUCAAAAAGCUCAAGAUAUUCAUCCAAAAAUUCCAAAAUAUUUUUUUUUUAGCGUACGAAACGGCCAAGCCAUUUUCUAGAAAAUGUCUGAAAUCUGAAAUCUUUCACACUACAUCGAGCGGGAGAAAUGCAAUGUCGUUUCUAUUAUGCAUUUUUGCAUUUAAUAUUCCUGUUCUCAUCGUUUGUGUGUUUGUGUGUGUGUGGGAGGGGGGAUGGGUUUUGUCAUUAACGUCGAUAAUUAGAUCAUACGUGUGAGACGGUGGACUGAGGAGGAGACACGCUUGUACUAACCAUGGCGUGUUGUUAUAUCGUCGAUCGAUUGCACAUAUCGCUGUACCGCGCUGUGUAGUUGUGUAAUGGGUCAACUAUUACUACUACACUACUACUACUCGUACCUACUACCACCACUACUGGCAAAGGCCAAAAACAAAAUGGAACCCAUCUUCAUCAUCAUCAUCAUCUGCAGUAGCAGCAGCAGCAGCAGCAGCAUGCAAUACCUUUUAUCAGGAGCACCAUUUCUUUCAUAAUUCAGAGCGAUUGAAACGGACGUGUUUGUACCUGUCUCCCAUAUUUUGUACUGCUCACCCACUCACACAUGUGCCAUCUCUGUCUACACGGUCUAUUGCUAUCUCGUUUUUCGUGUAUAUCUUUCACCCUCUAGCAACCCUUCUUUGAUGCCCCAAAAUGUCUUUCAAGAUCGAUUUUUGCAGCGAACGACAAGCACAUGCAGUUGCAAUUGCAUCAUUCAGCCGAACUUGCGGUAGCGCUUUUUUAUAUCAACAACAAAAAUAAAUUCCUGAGCGAACUGCUGGAUUCGGCAGCAAACAAUUGCAUCAUGUUAGGUACAUCCAUUUGUUUGUUUUUUUUUUU